AGUGAACGCUGGCGGUAGGCCUAACACAUGCAAGUCGAACGGCAGCACAGGAGAGCUUGCUCUCUGGGUGGCGAGUGGCGGACGGGUGAGGAAUACAUCGGAAUCUACUUUUUCGUGGGGGAUAACGUAGGGAAACUUACGCUAAUACCGCAUACGACCUACGGGUGAAAGCAGGGGACCUUCGGGCCUUGCGCGAUUGAAUGAGCCGAUGUCGGAUUAGCUAGUUGGCGGGGUAAAGGCCCACCAAGGCGACGAUCCGUAGCUGGUCUGAGAGGAUGAUCAGCCACACUGGAACUGAGACACGGUCCAGACUCCUACGGGAGGAAGCAGUGGGGAAUAUUGGACAAUGGGCGCAAGCCUGAUCCAGCCAUACCGCGUGGGUGAAGAAGGCCUUCGGGUUGUAAAGCCCUUUUGUUGGGAAAGAAAUCCAGCCGGUUAAUACCUGGUUGGGAUGACGGUACCCAAAGAAUAAGCACCGGCUAACUUCGUGCCAGCCGCCGCGGUAAUAC
rnacentral:rRNA from 1 species